rnacentral:rRNA from 1 species
AGGGUGCGUAACACGUGGGCAAUCUGCCGUGAAGUUUGGGAUAAUUCCGCGAAAGCGGGACUAAUACCGGAUGUGAAAGCUGGGGGGCAUCUCCUGGUUUUUAAAGUUGGGGACCGCAAGGCCUGACGCUUCACGAUGAACCCGCGGCCUAUCAGCUAGUUGGUGAGGUAACGGCUCACCAAGGCGAAGACGGGUAGCUGGUCUGAGAGGACGACCAGCCACACUGGAACUGAGACACGGUCCAGACACCUACGGGUGGCAGCAGUCGAGAAUUUUUCACAAUGGGGGAAACCCUGAUGGAGCGACGCCGCGUGGGGGAUGAAUGGCUUCGGCCCGUAAACCCCUGUCAUUCGCGAUCAAUGCGCAUUAUUUAAAAGAUGAUGCGUUGAUAGUAGCGGAAGAGGAAGGGACGGCUAACUCUGUGCCAGCAGCCGCGGUAAUACAGAGGUCCCGAGCGUUGUUCGGAUUCACUGGGCGUAAAGGGUGCGUAGGUGGUGAGGUAAGUCGGAUGUGAAAGCUCGGAGCUCAACUCCGAAAUGGCAUUGGAAACUACCUUGCUUGAGGGUUGGAAGGGGGACUGGAAUGCUUGGUGUAGCAGUGAAAUGCGUAGAUAUCAAGCGGAACACCAGUGGCGAAGGCGAGUCCCUGGACAACACCUGACACUGAGGCACGAAAGCAAGGGGAGCAAACAGGAUUAGAUACCCUGGUAGUCCUAGCCGUAAACGAUGCACGUUUGCUGUAAAAGGAAUCGACCCCUUUGUGGCGAAGCUAACGCGUUAA